rnacentral:tRNA from 5 species
GGCUGGGUAGCUCAGUUGGUAGAGCACCGGAUUCAUAAACCGGCGAUCGUGGGUUCGACCCCCACCCCAGCUA